GCAAACUUGGUCAUUUAGAGGAAGUAAAAGUCGUAACAAGGUCUCCGUAGGUGAACCUGCGGAGGGAUCAUUAUCGAGUUGACGGUUAGCCCUCGGGUCCCGCACUCUCCAACCCACUGUUUACAGACCAAGUUGCCUCGGCGGGCCGCCGUCCCAUGUCGCCCCUGGACCUCGCCGUCCUCGGAGCGCCCGCCGACGGGAUUAUCGUUAAAACUCUAUGAAAAACCAGUAAUCUGAGCGAAAUUUAAAUACUUCAAAACUUUCAACAACGGAUCUCUUGGUUUUGGCAUCGAUGAAGAACGCAGC
rnacentral:misc_RNA from 1 species